CUUAAUGAUUCUAUGAUUCUAAGAAAAGAAUCUGGCACAGUGUGAGACAGGAGGGUAACACAGAAUAACUCUAACACUUUCAGACCAGAGCAAGUUGAAAUCCAUGUGUCCACUGCUUCCAGCUGUGCGCCAGUUUUUGUGCUGAUGAACCACAGAAGGCCUCCCUCAGCAGUAUCUUCAAGGCCAAAACAUAGCAUCAUACCAGCCACUAUGAAGGAGAAAACAACUCUGUCCCAGCUGAAACCAGGACAAUAUGAAGACUCUGCACUGACCUUGACACCCAGCUUCCCUGAGAAACAGGAACAGCCAACUGCUGGUGUGAAGAAAUCUGAUGACCAACGUGGAUAGUGAUAACAAAAAAAUCUUCCUAAAAGCCUACAACUUCAAAAAUAAUGUUUUUUUCUUCCCCCCUUACUCCUGAAAAUCAAACUUUGCUUUACAUAAUUAACCCCUACAUUUGGCAGCUGAAACUUUUUUUUUUUCCCCCAUAUGAUCAGACCUAAGACAAACCCUUGAAAUAUUUUGCUGUUGAAAACUUGGAUGAAAAU
ensembl:lncRNA